ACUCGGGUGGUGGAAUAGGUAGACACGUCAGACUUAAAAUCUGAUUCCAAUGGAGUGUGGGUUCGAUUCCCAUCCCGAGUA
rnacentral:tRNA from 1 species